rnacentral:rRNA from 1 species
CAGGUAGGAAUACCCGCUGAACUUAAGCAU